CCCUCAAAAAUGUUGUAUCAUGGUUUCCACAAAAGCAUUACGCAGUACAACUGUUUUCAACAAUAAUAAGAUAGUAACAAGAAAUGUUUCUUGAGCACCAAAUCAGCAUAUUAUUAGAAUAAUUUCUGAAGGAUCAUGUGACACUGAAAACUGGUGUAAUGACUGCUGGAGAUUCAGCUUUGCCAACACUGUAAUACAGUAAUACAUUUUUACUGUAUUUUUGAUAAAUAAUUGCAGCCUUUGUGAGCAUAAGAGAUUUUUUCAAAAAAAUAACUGACACCAAGAUUUUGAACAAUAGUGUAGAAAUAUAAAUAAAAUCUAUAAAUAUCUUGUGAGAGAGUGUGCAAAGUUACAUUUGAAUAUUGAGAAGUGCAAAUGAGAUUAGAGAGUCGGUUUUCCACCUUAUAUUUCAAUCUGUUCCUCACACAAGUCAUACAGGUUUGGAAUGGCAAGAAGGUGGGUAAAUAAUGACAGUAUUUUCUUUUUUGUGUAAGCUAUUCUUUUAAAACUGUGGACACAAGCAGUAAAACUUAAAACUCAAACUAUUUUGAUUAGUUUUUUCCCCCUGAAGUAUGUGUGGGUGGUCUAAGUGUGUGCAGUACUUGUUUGCCAUUACUAUUUGAGAGCCAGUACAUCAGGAGUCAAGCAUAACAAUACAUACGCGUUUCAAAUCAAAAACUUUUGUAUCCUCUUCACACAUUUAUAGCAUUUCCACAGUCUCAACACUCAAACUCAUGACAGAUCUCACUCUGUCUCCGUCUGUGUCUCUCUCAGUCUCUUUUUCUCUCCUUCCCUGCGGAGGAGGCCUGCCACAUCUCUCUUCUCUCUUGUUCUUCACUGUUGUUCAUGGAUGUGGGGGCAGUACAGUAUCAGAUAACUUUAUCCUGGGCCAGUGCCAGUAUUUUGCGCAUGCAAACGCGCACACAUACACACCAGCUGUGUGGGUGACUCGGCUCCCAGGCAACGGCAGGAGGUCAGGUAGUCCUUUGCAUUGCAUGCUGGGAGUGUAGGAGUGUGGGGGUGUGUGACAAGUUAUUUCAGCUUUUGUUUAAAAACAUGUGCAACAGUUUUGCUAAAUGUCCAAAACAAGUCGCGCAGGAGUAGCUGUGGACUGUCGUCAAGUUGAGCACUUCAACUUUGUGUUGAGGCUCCUAACCGAAAGUUCUUUUUAUGUCGUCUUUUCACCAGGAUGAAGAAAAGACAAGAUGAAAGAGUGAUUCUUGUCCAAGUGCAUUCAGUUUGAAUCGCCUACUCUGUCAGAUGGCCUAAGUCCUUCAUGAAGUCUUUGUAAUAAUCCAUCACGCAGGACUAUCACGGUGAUAUAUGACUUCCAUUUCGUUCACACGAGGUUCAUAUGGCAUCGUCAGCUUUGCUUUUAAUUAUCGAAACCUCGCCUGAUCCCGCUGUUCACAUCUCCCUAAAUAUUGAUUUGUCUGUGGAGCACAGCUAAAUCAGUCAGCGCAUUCAAAGCAUUGAUUGUGGGUGGUAAAAAAAAUAGGACAAAAAAGGGAAAAAUUUUAAAGAAUUGUUUCCAUUACCAUGACAACCAUUCUCUACGAAAAUUUCUUUGGCUCUCAGGUCAGGUUUGGAUGGGGGUUCGGACGUCUUGUGAGAAACAGGUUGAUUUCGCUCAGCCUUGCCCAAAGCGAUUUCACACCUUUAAAUGCAAGGAUGCUGUAGCUUGAUUUUAAUUUCAUUAUAUUUAUAAAGAGCCUUUCAUCUUGCAUAUGUAGCCUUAGCGAAACAUCAGCUUUAAAAAAAAAAAAAAAAAAAGACCUUAUAUUAAAGGGUUAGUUCACCCAAAAAUGAAAAUUGUCAUUUAUUACUCACUCUCAUGUCGUUCUACACCAGUAAGACCUUUGUUCAUCUUCAGAACGCAAAUUAAGAUAUUUUUUUUAUGAAAUCUGAUGUCUCAGGGAGGCCUCUAUCUGACUCUAUAUAAAAAAAACUAAAUAACAGCUUUUCCAUAAUAUCUAGUGAUGGCCGAUUUCAAAACACUGCUUCGAAUCUUUUGUUUCGAAUCAGCGGUUCGGAUCGCGUGUCAAACUGCCAAACUGCUGAAAUCACGUGACUUUGGCGCUCCGAAUCACUGAUUCGAAGCAGUGUUUUGAAAUCGGCCAUCACUAGAUAUUGUAAAAGUAUUCUUGUUGCUUUAUAAUAUUAAGGUAGAACCACUGUACUCACAUGAACUGUUUUAAAUAUGUUUUUAGUACCUUUCUGGGCACUGAAAGUGUAAAUUAACUUGGUGGCAAUAGAGGCCUCACUGAGCCAUCGGAUUUCAUCAAAAAUAUCUCAGUUUGUGUUCCGAAGAUGAACGAAGGUCUUACAGGUGUAGAACGACAUGAGGGUGAGUAAUUAAUGACAUUAUUUUCAUUUUUGGGUGAACUAACCCUUUAACGGAGAGACUACAUGGAAUGUUUGUCACACCACAGGACAAUUAAAGUGCACAUUUAGGGGCACAAAUUUGAAUCAAAAAUUGUGAAUAACAGUCAACAUGGAAUUAAAAAUGAUUAGUGCACUUUAUAUAAAAGGGGACCUAUUAUGCCCCUUUUACAAGAUGUAAUAUAAGUCUCUGGUGUCCCCAGAAUGUGUCUGUGAAGUUUCAGCUCAAAAUUGUGUUUAAUUUAUUAUAGCUUGUCAAAUUUGCCCCUAUUUGGGUGUGAGCAAAAACACGCCGUUUUUGUGUGUGUCCCGUUAAAUGCAAAUGAGCUGCUGCUCCCAGCGCCUUUUCUAGAAGAGGGUGGAGCUUUAAUAGCUCUUGCUUCAGUUGCUCAACAACAACAAAGCUGGAGAAUAUCACGCAGCCAAAAUGAUGAUUGUCAGUAACGUGUUCAGCCUUACAUUGUUCAAACUGGAGUCGGACACUGAUGGAGAGACUCAGGAAGUUACAACUGGACGUUACUGAAUGGUUAGUGGAUUAAUUUAUGUAGUUGCUGUGGAGUUGAUUCAACUCAUCGACUAGCACGUGCCGUCAUGUUAAUCUUUUGUGCAAAUCCAGUGUUGAAAUGACCCUCGUUUGUGAAGCAGUCUGGUGUAAAAUGACGGCAUGGCAACAACACUGUACUACAACAACUCUUCCUCUUCUCUAAAGCAGCCCAACAUGGCCUCGCCCCCUUUGUUGUGUGUCCUCAGGGGUAGGGCUUACGUAAAUUUUAAGGUUUGUGAUGUCACCAACCCAGGAAGAAGCUCGUUGUAGUCCCUACCAGCCGUUUGUUGUAGUCCUUAAAAAAAAAACGAUUUCUGUAAAAGAACAUAUCUCCCUUUGCAUUGAACUUUAAGUGUCAUAACUUUGCAGAUGUUGUUUAUGCUCAAACAGCAACAUUACACACUAACUAAAGUUAAAAAAGUAAUCAAGGACCCCUUUAAAAAAAGCAUGUUUGUCUUCAUAAUCAUUCAUCAAAAUGUCCUUUCUAGAUGAUUUCACCUAGGCCAUGCAGAAUAUUAAGUAACUAUUAAGUAAUGUGACUAAUGCCACUUUUUAGAAAAAGCUUAGUGUUUCAGAUCCUAUAGAUGCUUUCAAUAGUGAACUUGAUCACCAGCUAUUAUGUCCUGAUCGAAAACUUUCCUUAAAACUGACUAUGGACUUGGCACUGCAAGCUUGGAUUCAGGUCUUUUUGUGUUGCACGUCUAAAUAUGUCACAUUACAGAAGUAAAAUGGGUUGCAAAUGUCUUUUGUUGUGAAGGGGGCCUUCUAAGGACGAUUUAAAAGUAUUACAACUAUAAAUUAUUACUAACCCCCCCCCAAUAACUAUUGUCUGUAUUGAAGAACAGAAUCAUGUAUGGAAUCAUGAAGUUUAAAUAAAAUGUGGUUAUUUUAAUAUAUCAACGCUCCUACUUUGUUGAUAAAAAGUUUGAAAAUAAGCAGCAUUUUCAUAAAUAAAGAAGAAAAACUAGAAAUAUAUGUCCUAUAUGCGGGACCUUUGAAUAUGGUGUUGGACAGUAUAAGACCUUUAAGUAGUCAAAAAGGCUGAAAACCACUGAUCUAAAAUAUUUUUUUCUCCUUCAUAAGUAUAAUUUUUAUCUUAAAUCAUAUAUUAUAUAAAAUCUGUUGUUAGAGCAAUUCUUAACUGAAAUAUCAGCUAGACGCAAACCACUUUAGCUUACAGUAAUGGCAACAGUACCAGAGCUCAGUACAGCUGAUUUUAAGUCCAUAAUAUGGUCACUUGAGGCCGUUGCUUCCUCAGCGCUUCUAGCGUCUGUCUGAGGGUUGCCAUGGCAACCGGGGCCCAAGAAUACCUCUAACUGCUCCUGACUGCCACCUUAUGGCUGGGCCAAACACCUUCAUUUACUAGAUUAAUCAUUGUGUGUUUAACAAAGGGAGCACAGUGUUACAGCAGCGGCUGUAGUUCAAGAGCGAGACAGUUCUACAAAGUGGCCAUUGUUAGAGAAGCCGCAGUUGGUUCAAGCAUCCAAAAAAAUAACAGAUGGAUUCAACUCUUUGAGCCUUGGGCAACAAACACGUCCUAUUAAGUUCGGUCCCUCUAUCACAAACACACACACAUACACAAAAAAAGCCUGCAGCUGUCCUACUCUCCCAAACUCCAUGUGUUGCUCUGGAUUCAUAUACUUGUUCUCUCUCUCUCUCUUUAGGCCUUCUGGAUAUGUCUCUGUCUUCACUGAGGGACUGGAAGUAGCAUGAAAGGAGAAGCUGUCUUGCGGUUCUUGAUGGCUGUACACUAAUUGCUGACCCUAACAGGUCCAAUUAGAAGCUACACGCGCCCCGCGCAGGCCCAGGGGACUACACAUCCCGGCAUGCCGAGCACUGACACUCUCAGAGUGACAUGAACAAGACAGCAACCAGACGUUCCCUCUUUCUUCUUUUUCCCACCAUGCUUUUCUCCAUCAUUUCUACAGAUUUCACGCCAGUGUCUCCUAGAGUUUCAGAGAUGAUCUCAUCAACUGUUGUAACUGCAAGAACCUAACAUGACAAGAAUGAGUGUAAAUAAGAGAGGAAAUUGUACCUUUCUGCUUCUCAGCUUCAGGUUCAGAACAGAUCUCUGUAAUGUCAUUUGGUAAAAGUUCAAAGGACGAGAGCGACCCACUAAACGUGUCUUUACACUGCUGAGCCCACACUUGUAAUUUUUGUCCCAGGUCCCAUGAAUUUAAGUGAUGGCCCUCUCUGUGAGACAAAUACAUGUACCUAAGAGAUUUUCAGGCAAGAGGAAGUUCACAGUCUCCAAGGCACCAGAUUACUCCAUUGAUCCGAACCCAAAAUGGCUCCAUGUCUGGCAUUUUCAGAGGCUGUUUCCAAGUCAAUGUCAUCCUAUCGGCCCCAUACUAAAAGAGACAAAUACGACUGAAAUAAGGUAAAGAUGGAGUGGUUGCCUUGCUGUUGUGCUGGUAUCAGACAUGGGCUCUUCAUCAGAUGACUAAUGGAGUUGUGCAGCUAACCAGGAGGCCCAAGGCUGUUUGUUAGCUCCUAACAAGGCCCGCCAUGCAGAAGUGGAUAAUGCAGUAGCUGUUUGGCUGGAGCUGUUGCAGGACACCUAUGUGAAGAGUGGUCAUUAGUGGCUCUCACCAGAGGCUGUGACAGCUGUCGCUUGUGGCUGCCGCUGGGCCCCAGUGCCUCCCCCUCGCCCGCUCACAAUGCUCCAGUAUGAACAUUUGUAGGCCCAGAUCAAAAAAAGAGUCCACUGAGACGCCAUCAAGAGAAACCUACAAGCUGCACACAUGUUUUUAUGAGAGAAAGAAAAAUCUUUG